AACAGCUCAGUUAAUCAGAUACUGCAGAACAUCUCUACAAGACACAAAAACUACAACAUUCAGUAGAAUGUUUACCUCUUUCACAUUUCAGUUAUCGUUUUGACUGAAGUCACCAUUUUGAUCAGAACUGCUGAGGGAUUUUAGGGAUCAGUGAUGGAGCAACAUCAUGUGAUCAUACUCCUGUUUGUCAUAGUGACAAGGACAGCUACAUUUACUUCUCUGAGAUGAUGACUUGGCUUGUAGCUCAGAGUUACUGUCGACAGUAUCAUGCAGACCUGGCUAGCACAAGAGAUGCAACAGAAAUCUCAGAAAUACAGGGACUAAUCUCUGGCUGGACAUGGAUUGGUCUGUUCAGAGACACCUGGAAGUGGUCUGACCAAACCAACUUCCCUGCCAUCAGCUGGAUGUCUGGAAAACUUGAUAAUGCACUGGGGUAUGAAAAUUGUGGUUAUUUAAAUAACAAUCAGGCUGCUGAUGCACUGUGCUCAGACAUACUGCUUUUCUUCUGUUACUCAGUAAUCACAGGAAAACAACAAAUCGUAAGGGUGAAGGUCCGGGCCAAUCAGGAUGUGAAUAAAUUUGCAGUAAAGGCGGCCAUCUUGGAGCAGAUCAAACAGGAACUGAAGGAUCAUGGGAUGGCAGAAAAUAUCACAGUGAAAUGGAGAAAGCAACCAGAUGGAAUGGUGUUUCACAAGUAGAAAGAAAAUAAUACUACAGUAGCAAAAGAAGAGCAACAUAUCAAAUCAUGAUCACACAUCAAGUGCAUGAUCCACUUUUAGUGUGAGUAGUUUAUUGAGAUGUAGUUCACUAUUAAAAGGAUGGUGAAAGGAGAAAAAAAUUUACCCAAACUUUCUCUUUUGGUUAAUUUCUAUGGUCAUAUUUGUAUUUUUCAUUUAGUUGUAUUUGUAUUUUUCUACAACAAAUGUAGUCAAUAGUCAAUGUAGCUGUAGUCGAUCUAGUUUUUACUUCUGUAGUUUUAUGGAUAUGAGAUAUAUGAACUAUGUGAUAUAUACGAAUAAGUGGAUAAUGUGCCCCUGAUAUUUCCCCCUGCUGAGUCUCCAUCAUCUGCUGGAGUUCACUGUGCUUCUUGUUUGACUUGUUGAAUCAUCUUUUUCUGCAACAUAUUUAAUUGUAGACCAUGUAUUUAGUAGCUAAAUACACAAAACUAUUAAUACCUUUAGAUUAUAAGCAAAAUAUAGCAUUUAAAUAAAGAACAAGCUAACAAGAAAGAGAACUUUUGUGUCCUAUAUUUUAUUAAGAAUUUUUCAACCUCAUGAUUAACUAACCUGAAUGAUAAAGAAGCUGCUUGCUUAUCUUUAGGAAGGAUAGACACAGUGCCUAUAAUUUCACAUGAAUUAAUGUUAAUUGUUCAUUGGUCCAAACUGGGGUCAGAGCUGUAUUUAUAAUGCUGCUCAGAGUAGAAUUUUAGACUUAAGUGGUAAAAAAAUUCUUAGAAAUUAGAAUUUUCCAGAGCUGUUUUGUAAACAUGAUUUAAAAUUCAGCACUGGCAGCACUUCUCUUUAGCACUUCUCUUAUUUAAAGUUGACUUAUUUUAUCUAAAGUUGACUCUUUUUUUUAGCUGCCUUGCCACUGUACUUGCCCCCAACAGGAAGCUCAAUGCAUCCAGCUGCAGCAAAUUCCUUGGUAGUCCUUCAAAUUACACUGGAGGGAGCGUGGUUGAGUGGUGGCUGUGGACGGAGAGAGCAGGGUUGGUUGAAGCGGGUAAUGUGUGUUUGUUCUCACCUGUGUGUUAUUACCGACAGCCUACUUAUAUGCCUGUUUUCCUUUCAGUAGAUGCUGUGAGCCAGAGAGAGAUGGAGCUGAUGAAGCUGACACAAUACACCCACCUCAAACCUGAACUUAAAUUUGAAGUUGAAUGUAACAAGCUAGCUAAAUGUUUUGGUUUCUUUUGAUUUUAUUUGUAUUCAGUUAAAGAGGCACUGCUGAAAAGUGCUUGCACGAGAAAAAAUAAGGAAAAUAAAAAUAAAAGAAGAACAAAGAUCUGUAAAAGUUCCAUCAGCUGUCGUGUACAGAUGGAGUUGCCGGCUACAUAAAACCCCAUUUAAAUGUGGCAAAUCAAUUAAAUUCAAUUCAAUUUUAUUCGUAUAGCGCUUUUAACAAUGGACAUUGUCACAAAGCAGCUUUACAGAAAUAUAUAAAUUCAGGAUGUAAAUUUUAAAUU